UACGAAGGGUGCUAGCGUUGUUCGGAAUCACUGGGCGUAAAGCGCGCGUAGGCGGCGAUACAAGUCAGAGGUGAAAUCCCCAGGCUCAACCUGGGAACUGCCUUUGAAACUGUAUUGCUUGAGUGUCGGAGGGGAUAGCGGAAUUGCUAAUGUAGAGGUGAAAUUCGUAGAUAUUAGCAGGAACACCGGUGGCGAAGGCGGCUAUCUGGACGACAACUGACGCUGAGGCGCGAAAGCGUGGGGAUCAAACAGG
rnacentral:rRNA from 1 species